UGAGAGGAUGAUCAGUCACACUGGAACUGAGACACGGUUAGUCGUAGUCGCCAGACUCCUACGGGAGGCAGCAGUGGGGAAUAUUGGACAAUGGGCGAAAGCCUGAUCCAGCCAUGCCGCGUGUGUGAAGAAGGUCUUCGGAUUGGGAUGCACUUUAAGUUGGGAGGAAGGGCAGUAAGUUAAUACCUUGCUGUUUUGACGUUACCAACAGAAUAAGCACCGGCUAACUUCGUGCCAGCAGCCGCGGUAAUACGAAGGGUGCAAGCGUUAAUCGGAAUUACUGGGCGUAAAGCGCGCGUAGGUGGUUCAGCAAGUUGGAGGUGAAAUCCCCGGGCUCAACCUGGGAACUGCCUCCAAAACUACUGAGCUAGAGUACGGUAGAGGGUAGUGGAAUUUCCUGUGUAGCGGUGAAAUGCGUAGAUAUAGGAAGGAACACCAGUGGCGAAGGCGACUACCUGGACUGAUACUGACACUGAGGUGCGAAAGCGUGGGGAGGAUCCAGGAUUAGAUACCCUGGUAGUCCACGCCGUAAACGAUGUCGACUAGCCGUUGGGAUCCUUGAGAUCUUAGUGGCGCAGCUAACGCAUUAAGUCGACCGCCUGGGGAGUACGGCCGCAAGGUUAAAACUCAAAUGAAUUGACGGGGGCCCGCACAAGCGGUGGAGCAUGUGGUUUAAUUCGAAGCAACGCGAAGAACCUUACCUGGCCUUGACAUGCUGAGAACUUUCCAGAGAUGGAUUGGUGCCUUCGGGAACUCAGACACAGGUGCUGCAUGGCUGUCGUCAGCUCGUGUCGUGAGGAUCGGGGUUAAGUCCCGUAACGAGCGCAACCCUUGUCCUUAGUUACCAGCACGUUAUGGUGGGCACUCUAAGGAGACUGCCGGUGACAAACCGGAGGAAGGUGGGGAUGACGUCAAGUCAUCAUGGCCCUUACGGCCAGGGCUACACACUUAGUCGGAUGUGCUACAAUGGUCGGUACGGAUGGGAUUCGUAGUG
rnacentral:rRNA from 1 species